rnacentral:ncRNA from 16 species
GUAUGUCCGAGUGGUUAAGGAGGUGGACUUGAAAUCCACUGGGCUUUGCCCGCGCAGGUUCGAAUCCUGUUACUG